GAUGAACGCUGGCGGCGUGCCUAACACAUGCAAGUCGAACGAAGCGUCUUAAAGGAAGUUUUCGGAUGGAAUUUGGGAUGACUGAGUGGCGGACGGGUGAGUAACGCGUGGAUAACCUGCCUCAUACAGGGGGAUAACAGCUAGAAAUGGCUGCUAAUACCGCAUAAUGCAGCUGGGUCGCAUGACUCUGGCUGCCAAAGAUUUAUCGCUCUGAGAUGGCCUCGCGUCUGAUUAGCUAGUUGGCGGGGUAACGGCCCACCAAGGCGACGAUCAGUAGCCGGACUGAGAGGUUGACCGGCCACAUUGGGACUGAGACACGGCCCAG
rnacentral:rRNA from 1 species